CCUACGGGUGGCUGCAGUGGGGAAUAUUGGGCAAUGGAGGCAACUCUGACCCAGCAAUGCCGCGUGAAGGAAGAAGGCCUUCGGAUUGUAAAGUUCUUUUAUCAGGGACGAAGAAGAUGACGGUACCUGAGGAAUAAGCCACGGCUAACUAUGUGCCAGCAGCCGCGGUAAUACAUAGGUGGCGAGCGUUGUCCGGAUUGACUGGGCGUAAAGGGCGCGUAGGCGGGCUGUUAAGUCAGAUGUGAAAUCCCGGGGCUCAACCCCGGAACUGCAUUCAAGACUGAAGGUCUUGAGUGUAGGAGGGGUAAGCGGAAUUCCGAGUGUAGCGGUGGAAUGCGUAGAUAUUAGGAGGAACACCAGUGGCGAAGGCGGCUUACUGGAUUAUAACUGACGCUGAGGCUCGAAAGCGUGGGUAGCAAACAGGAUUAGAUACCCGUGUAGUC
rnacentral:rRNA from 1 species